rnacentral:misc_RNA from 1 species
AUGUUAUAUACCGGUGGCAAUUUGCAAACUGUUUAAAUUAGAAUUUUUCAUUUUGAUUUUUGUGCGUGUUCCAUAAAUUGUGUUAAUACUAAAUUAAUAUAUUUGGUUUUUGAAUUAAAACGACUGCUUCGUCUCAUAUUUACAAAAGUAUUAGUUUAAUUCAAAAGUUACUUUGGAUUGCCGAUUUAUAUUUGUAAGUACGGCACGAUAUUGAUAACUUAUGUUUAGACGUAUUUUACCUAAAUUUGCCGUAUUGGUUUCCAAUAAUUAUAACUCUCGAUUCAUUAGUGUUUCUAAAAAAUUUCUUAUACCAAUCAAAAUGACUAAGAUCGGAACACAUGAUGGAGUCUUCCACUGUGAUGAAGUCCUUGCUUGCUUCAUGCUCCAGCAACUUCCUGAAUAUAAAGAUGCAGAGAUCAUCAGAACUAGGGAUAUGGAGAAACUCAAUGCUUGUGAUAUAGUUGUUGACGUUGGUGCAGUAUUUGAUCACAAUAAGAAGAGAUAUGAUCACCAUCAAAGGGAUUUUAAUGAAACUCUGAGCAGUCUCAAACCUGAAUUGGGCGAGAAAUAUAAGAUUAAGUUAAGCUCAGCUGGGCUGAUCUAUGCCUUCUAUGGCGAGAGAGUUAUACAAACACUUGCACCAAAAGAACACCCUUUACAUGCCGAUGACCUCAAACUUAUAUUUAAAAAAGUUUACAAGAGCUUCAUAGAAGAAAUGGAUGCUAUUGACAAUGGUGUGCCAAUGACAGACGAAGAACCCAGAUACAAAAUUAGCACUCAUUUGAGUGCGAGAGUUGCCAGACUGAACCCUGAAUGGAACACCUCACAGAAAAUCAAUGUAGAAGAACUAUUCUAUCAAGCUAUGAAGCUAGUGAGAGAAGAAUUUAUAUACACAGUUAAUUAUUUCAUAUCAGUCUGGCUACCAGCACGAGAUCAUGUGAAGAACGCGUUAGAAGACAGAUUUGAAGUGCACAAAUCGGGUAAAAUUGUGGAAUUCAAAGAGCGCUUACCGUGGAAAGAGCAUUUGUUUGAUUUGGAAGAGGACAUGGGCUUGUGCCAAGAGAUAAAAUAUGUUCUGUUCAACGACAAGCCCAAGUCCUGGAGGGUGCAAACGGUGCCAGUCGCUCCUAGCAGCUUUAUUACCAGAAAACCAUUACACCCGAAGUGGUGGGGGGUCCGGGAUGAUGUACUGAGCGAAGUGGCGAACAUUGAAGGUUGCAUAUUCUGCCACAGCACCGGGUUUAUUGGCGGUAAUGUGUCGAGAGAUGGCGCUUUAGCAAUGGCCGUUGCUAGCUUAGAAGCGUGAAACAAAAUGCUGAAAGGUUACUUAAUUUUGAGUUCAACUUAACAUAGGCACCGAGUAAUCAAUCGCUCAUAUAGAAAUGAAAUAAAUUUAACAUCUACUGGAUCAAUUUAACACACUGAAGGAUUGUUCUAGGUAAUUUUUAUCCCCAUUCAAUCUCAAUGGUGUCAGAUAUAUAUUUAUGAUUUUUUUUUUAAUGUGCAUCAUGGAUUCGGGAGAUAUACUAUUAAUAAAUAUAUUAUGAUAUUUUUUAUGUAUUUGGCCACUGUUUACAUGACAUUAUUAUAAAUAAAUGAGGGUUUCAGUUGAAUAGUUAAUAUUAUUCUAAAUAAUAUGUUUAUUUCAAUAUUGGCUACUAUUGUUUUUAUCACAUAAAUGUAAAAAACAUGGUAUUUCUAUGUUUUAUUUUAAAUUUUAAUUGCAUUCAGCUUGAAAUUGAGUUACUAAAUGUUUUGUAGCAUUCGAUUAUGGUCAAUAUGCUGUUGGAAAUAAAGUGAAGUUUUCAUUGCUUGGAAAUAAAAUUGUAAUUGGUGAAUUUUGGUUGAUGAUUAAAAAUA